UACGGAGGGAGCUAGCGUUAUUCGGAAUUACUGGGCGUAAAGCGCACGUAGGCGGCUUUGUAAGUUAGAGGUGAAAGCCUGGAGCUCAACUCCAGAACUGCCUUUAAGACUGCAUCGCUUGAAUCCAGGAGAGGUGAGUGGAAUUCCGAGUGUAGAGGUGAAAUUCGUAGAUAUUCGGAAGAACACCAGUGGCGAAGGCGGCUCACUGGCCCGAUACUGACGCUGAGGCGGCGAAAAGCGUGGGGAGCAAACAGG
rnacentral:rRNA from 1 species